rnacentral:rRNA from 1 species
UACAUCGGAACGUGCCUAGUAGUGGGGGAUAACUACUCGAAAGAGUAGCUAAUACCGCAUGAGAUCUACGGAUGAAAGCAGGGGACCUUUGGGCCUUGUGCUACUAGAGCGGCUGAUGGCAGAUUAGGUAGUUGGUGGGGUAAAGGCUUACCAAGCCUGCGAUCUGUAGCUGGUCUGAGAGGACGACCAGCCACACUGGGACUGAGACACGGCCCAGACUCCUACGGGAGGCAGCAGUGGGGAAUUUUGGACAAUGGGCGAAAGCCUGAUCCAGCAAUGCCGCGUGCAGGAUGAAGGCCCUCGGGUUGUAAACUGCUUUUGUACGGAACGAAAAGCCUGGGGCUAAUAUCCCCGGGUCAUGANNNNNGUACCG